rnacentral:rRNA from 1 species
AGCCACAAGAAGAUAUCUGUGGUUUAACCUGCCCAAUGUAUAAUAAUUAUUAAUGGCCGCGGUACCCUGACCGUGCUAAGGUAGCGUAAUCAGUUGGCUUUUAAAUGGAGUCAGGUAUGAAUGGGAUAACCAGGUUGAGCUGUCUCUAAAAUGGUAUCUUGAAUUUACUUUCCAAGUGAAAAAGCUUGGUUAAAUAAAAGGGACGAUAAGACCCUUAGAAUUUUGUUUAAAAUGCUUAGUUUUUACGUUGCGUUAUGGUUUAGUUGGGGCGACAAAGAAAUAAUUAUAACUUUCUUUAAAUUUAACUAGCCGGAUAUUUCAAGACAGAAUAAAUUACCUGAGGGAUAACAGCAUAAUUCUAUAAGUGAGUUUGUGACCUCGAUGUUGGACUAGGAAGCUAGCAGGCUAGACGCUUGUUGUGCAGAUUCUGUUCGAAUUUUAACUCCU